UUCUGAAUCGAUUGGUCAGUUUUGGCCGGGGAACAAAGCCAAUGAUAAUGUGUACUAGCAUUCGAUUAUUGAUUCCAUGACAUGCUGUACUCAUGUGAUUCUGGAUAAACAGUUGUGGCUGGGGAACAAACAUCGUGGUGAUUUGGUGUGGGAUCCUGAAGAUAUCGAAGAACUGUCUCAACCGUGCAAACUACAUCAAGUAUUGAUCAGGUUUGGCCGGGAAACAAAAGCAAAUGAUGCUUUGUAGUUCCAGUUAUUGCUAUCAUGAUGUGUUGGAUAAACAAAUGUGGUCAGACUCUGGUGUGGUAUUCUGAAUCUAUCGAAGAACUGUCUGAACUAUGCCAGCUACACCGUCCGCAAUCUUGGCACCUUGAGUAUUGAUAAUAUGAAGAUAAAUCAGACAGAUGUUGCACCAUUGCAGGUUCAUUUGGCUCUACCAAUGUUGCGUUCUCACUGCUCAGCAUCGUGACAACUGAAGACAUCAGUGGCCUGUUCCGAGGAUGCACUUCAACACACAGGAGAGCAACCUGUAUGCAUCUGAGCGCUACGCUGUGGUCAAUGGUGUCUCCCAUUGCUUCAUCCAUGAUGAUCUCCAGCGUCAGGACACCGAAGCUGUAGAUAUCAGAUUUCAUAGAGAACACGCCAUCCAUUGCAUAUUCCGGAGACAUGUAGCCGCUGAAGACCACGAUCUCACUAGUUAGCAUGAAAGCUCAUCUUCAAAAGAUCCCUAUGGAUGAUCCUCACCCUUGAAUCCUCAUGGAGAUAUAGCAGACCCCGUGCAAUCCCCAGAAUGAUCUCAAAACGGCUCUUCCAUUCUAGUAACUUGCGCUUUCCUUCAUCUGCAUAACAUUUCACCAAGGCUGUUGUUGUGCAUGAACUCGUACACUAACAUUCUCUCGUGGUCGUCGAUGCAGCAGCCUAGCAGCCUCACCAGCUACUUCUUGCCCAUCUUCAAGUUUUGCCUGUUGAUCACCAGUUUGCAGGGCCAAAUCCACCUUGUCCUAUCUUGCGGUCUGCAGAGAAGUUGUCCGUUGCAGCUAGAAUCACUUCUAGAUCAAACAACGGAAGCUCAAGAUCUUUUUCGCUGCUCAUCCUGCUCUCAUUCAUCAGGCGAUCCUGUGCUGUUCUCAGUGCUGAAUGUUUCCUGGCCCCAGGAGGCACGUCUGGCUCGGCCCUAAUACUCGGUGCCAUUUCGUCCUGACGCUUCGUGCUCGCCUUGUUCCUCCAGAAAAAGUAGUAGACAACCGCCCCCAGAAGAAGCAAACCGGAAAGAGCGGUGCUGACGCCGAUCACCACUCUCCUGUUUGGAUGCUGACGGUUAGCUGAAAUCAAGCAGCGGUGAACCUGAGGUGUUCAAAAGCGGGUUCCGAUGUACCAGGUUCUAAAAAUGUGGAGUACUAGAAAAAAAUGGUUAUUGCAAUUUUACUCAAGGACGGACUGAUGGCUACUGUGACCCAUGCAAACUUGCUUGUACUGAUGACUUGUAUGGACCUAAUGAAAUCGCAAAUGUUGUGAAAAAAUCUCAAAUAUCAUCUUUGACAGUUUCUCCUGUUGC